GACUUGGGUGUUGCUGCUUUACGGUGGCUCGCCUCAAAUGGAGUAGUGCAACUCUUGGUUGGACAUAGUACGGCGUGAUAAGUGUCUUCGCCGGCACCUCACUAGAGGGUGGCUGAUCAGGAGCUCUGUGCCUCAAACCGUCUUCGGACAAUCUUUGACAACUUGACCUCAAAUCGAGUAGGACUACCCGCUGAACUUAA
rnacentral:misc_RNA from 1 species